rnacentral:rRNA from 1 species
AAACAUGUCUCCAUUGAUAAAAAUGUGGAGUCUGGCCUGCCCAUUGAAUAAUAUUUUAAAAGGCCGCAGUAAUUUAACUGUGCGAAGGUAGCAUAAUCAGUAGUCUUUUAAUUGGAGGCUAGAAUGAAGGGUUGGACAAGAAGUUGACUGUCUUUGUGUUGAAUAUUGAAUUUUACUUUUAAGUGAAAAGGCUUAGAUGGGUUCAAGGGACGAUAAGACCCUAUAAAAUUUGAACAAAUUAAUUUUAAUGUAUGGAAUUAGAGGUAUAAAUCAAAGUUGGGUGAUUUUUGUUUUGUUGGGGUGACAAAGAUAUAAAGUAAAGUUAGAAACUGUCUUUGUAUAUGGAAUAAAUUUAUUUAGUGUAGUAUGAUCCUUUAGUGAGGAUUAGAAGAUUAAAUUACUUUAGGGAUAACAGCGUAAUUGUUUCUGAGAGUCCUUAUCGACGAAAUUAGUUGCGACCUCGAUGUUGAAUUAAAGUUUCUUUCAAAUGUAGCAGUUUGGGUUGGUGGGUCUGUUCGACCUUAAAACUUUACAUGAUUUGAGUUCAAACCGGUGUGAGCCAGGUGUUUUUU